rnacentral:rRNA from 1 species
GACGAACGCUGGCGGCGUGCUUAACACAUGCAAGCCGAACGGAAAGGCCCUGCAUUUGUGGGGUGCUCGAGUGGCGAACGGGUGAGUAACACGUGAGUAACCUGCCCUUGACUUUGGGAUAACUUCAGGAAACUGGGGCUAAUACCGGAUAGGAGCUCCUGCUGCAUGGUGGGGGUUGGAAAGUUUCGGCGGUUGGGGAUGGACUCGCGGCUUAUCAGCUUGUUGGUGGGGUAGUGGCUUACCAAGGCUUUGACGGGUAGCCGGCCUGAGAGGGUGACCGGCCACAUUGGGACUGAGAUACGGCCCAGACUCCUACGGGAGGCAGCAGUGGGGAAUAUUGCACAAUGGGCGGAAGCCUGAUGCAGCAACGCCGCGUGCGGGAUGACGGCCUUCGGGUUGUAAACCGCUUUCGCCUGUGACGAAGCGUGAGUGACGGUAAUGGGUAAAGAAGCACCGGCUAACUACGUG